UGGGGAAUCUUGCACAAUGGGGGAAACCCUGAUGCAGCGACGCCGCGUGAGCGAUGAAGCCCUUCGGGGUGUAAAGCUCUUUCGGCAGGAACGAUAAUGACGGUACCUGCAGAAGAAGCUGCGGCUAACUACGUGCCAGCAGCCGCGGUAAUACGUAGGCAGCAAGCGUUGUUCGGAGUUACUGGGCGUAAAGAGUGCGUAGGUGGUUUUCUAAGUUCGGUGUGAAAUCUCCCGGCUCAACGGGGAGGGUGCGCCGAAAACUGGAAGACUUGAGUGCGGGAGAGGAGAGCGGAAUUCCUGGUGUAGCGGUGAAAUGCGUAGAUAUCAGGAGGAACACCUGUGGUGCAGACGGCUCUCUGGACCGCCACUGACACUGAGGCACGAAAGCGUGGGGAGCAAACAGG
rnacentral:rRNA from 1 species